CGAUUUUGAAAAAAAAAAGAUGCAAAUCCAAAGGUCAGAAAAAAAUAAAGAUAAAAUUUAAAAUUUUUUCUAUGUAGGACAAAUUGGAAGAAAUUAAAAAGGAAAGAAAGAAAGACAAAUUACAAAAAAAAUAUACAAAAAACAGAUUGCAUAAAGACCAAAAUAAAUUACAACACUCAAACAAAAAAUUUACACUGAACAUUCAUAUGUAAAAAAUGAAAUGAAUGACUGUAAAUACAAUAUAAAGCAUUUGAUGUAAGCCCAAGCCCAUUCAUUUUAACUAAUUAAAAAAGGCCCAAGAAAGAAGCCCAACUAACUGUAGAGGCAGAAGGGUAUAAAGAAGGACCCGACUACAAAGCCCACCUGCACAAAGAACAAGGACAGAAUUGUAAAAAACCUAAAAGCAACGCACCCCAACUUAAGCAACACCACAGCCGCUGGCCAGAUACCAGAUCCAAAACAAAUGAAGACAACGAACCAGAGAAAGGAGAAGUAAGAGAAAAGAAGGAUGGAUGAAGAAGACAAACUACAACAGCAGCAAGAAAGCCAGAUCAUAGGAGAAGAUCAGAGAAGAAACCAAGUAAGUCCAGUGACUAACCUUAACCAGAUUCAGUUGGCCAGAAAUUGGGCUUUGAGGAUCCUCAAUAGUCCCUUAGGAUACAUGGCAAAGCCAACGUGAAUCUAGAUGUUGCCUUCCUGCUCGUGAUCAACAGCUCAGCUCUAAAACUCUUCACCUUUUAAUGACAGGAAAAUGAGAGAAUGAGAAGAUACACAGCAAUGGAGAAGGGCAAACAACAACUGAUGAACCCAGAUGCAAAUCAGUUGAAUCUAAAAGGAAAUCAGUUGAUCCUUGUAGCACCCGGUUUUAAGAACAAAACCAGAUACACACCAUAUGUGAGCCCAGGAAGUCAAAUCUCACAUAUAGCCACAAAUAAGGGUAAUAUCAAUAGUCAAUGCUUAUAUAUAACGAACUUAGUAUAAAAGAUAUAACCUUAGAUAGCAAACAGCGGAAAGACACUCCGUUCUUCAGGCGAAAGCUCCAAAUCCACAGGGACAACUGACUGGUUGAGCACAAGCCUAAACUCUUCUCCAAACUUGCAAGCUGGUACCCAUCCGGGAUUUUUAUCCAAAUAAAAUGUAAAGGCAAGCGUAAGUACAUCUCGUACUCAGCAAGAAUAACAUAGGGUUCAUGAGGCUCAAAGGCUAGACACUGGUUUAACUGCAUGUAGCUUUUAGUUGUCACAAUUUUAGCAUAUGAGUAGCAUCAAGUUGUCAAGUCCCGAAGUAAACUCAUGAUCAUGUAAAGUGAAUAUAGAAUAGCAUAAACAACAUAUUAACAACAAUAACAUUAAUGAUUUGCCAUUAGUGAUCAUUUAUUCUGUAUUGGUCCAAGGCCGCUCGUGACCGUGAGCACGGCUGAUAUAUCAGUUUUACACUCUGCAGAGGUUGUACACUUUCACUGUGAGUCAUGAUUUACCCUUUCGCCCGAGGCCCGUCGACCUCUUAGCCCACUACCAAGGAAGACCGGCAGGGUUCACUAUGAAGCCUUUCAAAGGUUCGUCUAACAAGUUAGGGCCGCUUGGUUUCGUUAGUCAGUCCGUGUGACUCACCCGCAGGAAUCCACGGUCUGCUAUCCCCCACUUGCGCCACAAGGGUAACCACUAACAAGCUAGAAAAGGUCCUCAUACUAAGCUAAAGCCAGAGCCAUGUAGCCCUCACAGUUGUACUGUAUGUCCCGGAUGGUCAGAUACAGAUAAGUCCUUAUGGGGAGAAACUAGAGCACCAUAAGAUAGCCCAAUGCUCCAGCCCUCUUUUCCAAAGUUGCUAAAAAGUCCACUUUUAAUGUUUAUUGCAUAUUCCAUUAAUCAAAUUACAAGAUCAUGGUUUAGUGGAGCACUAGCAUAAGCUACCCAAUGCAAAACCAUAGGUGACAAGGUAUAAGACCAAUACUAGGAAUUCCUUAACAAGGAGACACAUGCAAUAUGAAUAGUGUAAUUAAGGUUAUUAGGAAACAAGGAUGAUCCCAUGCUAUACUUGCCUUGAAACUCAGAUCCUUCUUUUAGUUCCGAACCUUCCACAAACUGCUUCUUGAUCACCACGUAAAAGCUCACCGACUAAACUCAGUCAUCACAUCAACAACAAUCAUCCAGAGGCAAUCAUACAAAGCAAAACAAACCUAUAAUUAGAACAAUACACCAACAGUAGCAAAUAAAGAUAAAAAGUUUAUAAAACAAAUCUACAUCGCUCUACGAUCACACAGACGUAAAGAUUACGAAAAUCGGAGCUAUAACGAAUAAGUUAUGAUUUUCCUAAGAUUUCCUUUAAUAAAAUAAUAGAUUAAAUCUAAACUCAGAUUUAAAAAGUUGGAAACUUGUAAUUCAGUAACAUUGAUCUAUAGGUUACGCGAAAACGAAUCUAACGAAAUUUGAACGAAUCAAAACGGAGUUAAAACGAAGAAUAUAUGAAUUUUCUAAGAUUUUAUUUAGAAAAACAAUUAAUUACUUGGGUCACGGAAUUAAAAAGUUUCAAACUGAGAAAACAAUUUCACUAAUAUGUAGAUCUUUUGAAUACAAAACCAACGCAAUUUGAAUGGGUCAAAUCGGAGUUGAAACGGAGUUUUUAUGAGUUAAAUAAGAUCAAUGGCAAAACUGUAAAUUUGAGAAAGCGUAUUUUGAACUGAGUAAGCGAGAAUACGUCUUCAAAAUUGGAAAGCGUAUUUUUAAAAUUAUGUUUUGGACUGCGGGUUAGAUCUUUAAAAACCAGUGGGGCUAUUUUGCAAAACGCGCAGCCGAAAAGGUAUCUUCCAAUUUAGGCCGUCGGAUCGCGAAUGGGUGGCUAAGAUUAGAUCAGGGGGGAACUGGGGUGUUGGCCGGCCGGAGUUGGACAGGACGCGGCGGCGCCAUGGCUAAGCUCGGCCGGAGCUCGCCAAUCCAGUGAUAGAGUGCGGUAGAGCGCGAACCAAAAACACGGGGUCGCUCAGGAGCUCAGUGCGCGCUCACCUGAGGCAAAAAUCGGGGCGGAGCGAAGUCGGCUAGGGCUCCCGACGGCGAGAGGCGGAUGGCGGCCCUGCAGGAAGUUCGGCGCUGGUUAGCUACGCGUAGAAGGCAUGAAAACACGAAAGAAGAGCUUCGGUGACUUCGCAAGAGCAGCGAGAAGACCGGCAAGCGGCUCACGGUGACAAACACGCGAAGCAGCGGCGGAUUGGCUUCGACCCGGAUCUCGUCGGCGGUUUUCGGUGAGAACAAAGCGACGGGCGGCUCUGGGAUUUGGUAGGAGACUUGGCGAGGGUCGGGGUGAGUAUUUAAAGGGGCAAACGUGCGGAGCAAGGAGUUCGGGAGGGAGAUUACGCGCGGCCGGUGCGAUCUCUCGGCGCAGUCCGGCUCCGUCACGAGGUAGGGGAAAGACCCGACAGAUGGGUCCCACCUGUCAGCGAAACGGGGCGCGGGGUCGGCUUGUCAGCGGCUGCAGCGAGGUGGGAGGGGCGCGCUGCUUGCUGGGCUCGCUCUGCUGGCGCUGGGCCGCGAAGUGGGCCGCGCAGAGAAGAAAGGGGGGAGGAGGAGCAGGCUGCGGGGGAAGGGAGAGAAAUGGGCCGAGCCCGAGACAGGGAGGGGGAGAGGGAAUUCUUUUCCAUUUUCUAUUUUAUGUCUCCCUUUUCUUUUAAAACAAAACACAUUUCAAAACCAAAUUUGAAUUCUUUUUAAGCUUUAGUCAAACCCACUCAUCAAAAUAAAUCAAAUGCAGAGGCAUGCAUGCUCAAACAAGUUGCUAACUCCUAUAGUAAAUUUUAAUUGAAAUAAAAAUAUUAUUUUUUUCCUAUAUUUCAUGGGCACAAAAAUACACAAAUUAACAAUUCAUCCUAUUUUGGAAAAUUGCAAAUUUUGGGGUGUUACAAUUCUACCCCCCUUAAAAUGAAUCUCGUCCUCGAGAUUCGGUUGGUGCUUACUCAAACCACUGCGGAUAUACUUUUCUUAGAUCCUCUUCUCUUUUACAAAUAGCCUCCUCUUCGGUGCACUGAUUCCACUGGACUUUGUACAUCCUGACAAUCCAACUUCCGGUAACCCUUUUCUGUUGUUUCCAAAAUUUCUUACUAGGCACUCUUGUAUGUGAAAUCCAAUUUAACAGUCAAUUCUUCUAAUGACAUCUGCUCUUAUAACACACACAAGUACUUCUUAAGUUGAGACACAUGGAAGACAUCAUACACUCCUUCUGAACUUUCAGGUAGCUCUAUUUGGUAAGCCACUUCGUUCCAUAUUUCUUACAUCUUGAAAGGCCCGACAUACCUUGGUGCUAACCUUCCUUUCACACUUCUCUUAUGUGCCACUUCCCAAAAUCACAUAGUUUCACGCUUUGGAACUAAUUCUUUUCUCAGGCGUCAACAUAACUCUUCUAUCGAGUCUGUGCCACCCUUAGAUUAUCUCUGCUCACUCUCAAUUGUUGUUCUACAUCACUUAGAACUUCUAGCCCAAUCACUUGAGGUCCUUAUCGAUGAUCCAACAUUAACCAAUUCUUCUCCUUGUAACUCCUUUGAUAGGACUACCCCCCUUAGAAAAGGUAACUAGGGGUUUAAAUGGGUAGUUUAGUCCACCUCUCUAGUGUGUUUCUUAUCAUGAGAUCUUCUAAUACCGAAGAGAAACUCAUGUGCACUGAUGUGUACAAGAAAUCUGAAUUUCCUCACAAUAUGAGAAACACCAGCACAGUAAAAUAUAAAUAACUCCUUUUCUGUUAAUCCAAUAAGGUCUUAGCUUAUACCGUUAGAAACCUUAUCAAAUUCCCUACAACUUUCAUAUAGAAGGCUUCCUUAGUUUCUGUCAUUAAACCUAGGUAAAACAGCCAUACAUGAUAUUCCUCCUGACAGUGUCUCAGCACCUAUGCAGUAACUUGCAGCUGUCAUAUCUCGAGCUACAUAAAUCAUAUGGAGACGAUCCUUAUAUUGUUGAAAAGCUUAUGAAAUCCUCUAAAACUUUAGUAUACAACUUUUUCCCAGAUUCUAAAUUUAACUUGGCUGAAAAUAGGGAAUACCAAAACUGUCCAGACUUUGAUACAGAACACAAACAUCCAAUUGUAAAUAUCAUAUCUCAGGUUCUCCUUAUCCAAAUAAGUUCCAGCUUAUACCUUUGGAAAUCUUAGCAAAUUUUCUAUAACUUUUCUAUAGAACACUUUUCCAAAAUCUAUAGUUAUAUUUGUCUCAAACAGCAUGUUCCCAAAACUGGUCCAGAUUCUGGACAGCGCAACUAUACCGUCUUGUGAUUUUCGUAAUUCCCAAACCACAACAGCUAUGAGGGUGAUUCUUGAAGUCAGAGAAGGAUCUUGAAGUCUACUAUUACCCAGAAUUCUCACAUGAUUUUAUGGUCCUCCGAGAUUAGGGAUUUGAACUGAAGAAGAUAAGUUGCUCCCAAAAGACAGGGUAGGGAAAACAAGAGAAACUAAAACCCAUCUAUUUAUUCAUUAGUCCUUAUACCUUAGACCUAUAAACUAAAUGAAAUUGUGGAGAAACCCACAAGAUCAUUGCACUCAUUACAAAAAUCCAACUCAAACAUAAGCACCAAGACAAACCAACCAAACAUUAAAGGUUCACACAGCACACAUAUAUGCCUAAACUCAACUUUUGCUACUAACGUUUAUUACAAAGGGGAACUUCCUACUUCUUAAACAUAGUGUGACUGCAGCGGCAUCCAGGGUAGCAUCUCUUGCGUGGAGUUAAGCGAGGUAUGUCCUCCACCUCAUUGAUCUUAGGUAAUCCACCACGACUUCUCCACUCAUCAAUCUCAUCAAGGGCUUCCUCAUAGUGUUGCCUUACUUCUGCCAAUUCCAGUUGACUGUCUUCUAGCUUUUGAUGCAUGACUUGGAUAGUCAAAGCCAUCUCUUUUAGUUGUUCACUCUGCUCCAAGUAGGGGUCAGCCAUCACACAUUGCAAAGUGCCUGGUGGACGACGAGGAAGAUACUUUUGUUUGCCAUUCUUCCUCUCUUCGUAGUGCUUCCCAUGAUAUGCCAGAAGAGCUUGAUGGGCAGCAUCAGAUAUGCUAGCAUGCUUACUGAAGCGGUCACUGAGAGACGAAUGAAUGGAUUCCACCACACGUGAACCAGUAAACUCAUUCCACCUGGUGAUGUGUGCUUCUGUGCUCCAGUGGCUCUCAUACUUAGGAUGAGUCCACUUAAUGCACUUAUACUCCACCUUGGCUUGCUGUUCAGGAUAGUGGUCUUGUAGUAUACGCACAAGCCGAGGGUGAAAGAAAUCUUCGCCACUAAAGGAUGUGGUAAAGUAUUCCUUCCGCCAACAAGUAUGUCUUGAUGGGACCGGGCGAGCUUCUUCAUACUCUGGUUCCGUUAAGCCAUAGAUACCCCGAGUUAAGCAUGGUCUUCCAGAGUUGUUGCGAGCAAACUUUUCGUUACGAACCAUCUAUGGAAUUAGACCAAGAGGGAAUUAGAAUAGAAGCAAUACUUUUAGAAUAGAAUUAGAUGAUAGAAGCAUAAGAAUUUUAGCAAAUAGCAAGGGUGAGUUAGUAAGCAUGAAUGUAGUGAAGCAAAGAUGACUAGAACGACCAUUUCUAUCUAGGCUUGCGUCCUACAGUCAGCAUUGCUCUGAUACCACUUUGUAGCACCCGGUUUUAAGAACAAAACCAGAUACACACCAUAUGUGAGCCCAGGAAGUCAAAUCUCACAUAUAGCCACAAAUAAGGGUAAUAUCAAUAGUCAAUGCUUAUAUAUAACGAACUUAGUAUAAAAGAUAUAACCUUAGAUAGCAAACAGCGGAAAGACACUCCGUUCUUCAGGCGAAAGCUCCAAAUCCACAGGGACAACUGACUGGUUGAGCACAAGCCUAAACUCUUCUCCAAACUUGCAAGCUGGUACCCAUCCGGGAUUUUUAUCCAAAUAAAAUGUAAAGGCAAGCGUAAGUACAUCUCGUACUCAGCAAGAAUAACAUAGGGUUCAUGAGGCUCAAAGGCUAGACACUGGUUUAACUGCAUGUAGCUUUUAGUUGUCACAAUUUUAGCAUAUGAGUAGCAUCAAGUUGUCAAGUCCCGAAGUAAACUCAUGAUCAUGUAAAGUGAAUAUAGAAUAGCAUAAACAACAUAUUAACAACAAUAACAUUAAUGAUUUGCCAUUAGUGAUCAUUUAUUCUGUAUUGGUCCAAGGCCGCUCGUGACCGUGAGCACGGCUGAUAUAUCAGUUUUACACUCUGCAGAGGUUGUACACUUUCACUGUGAGUCAUGAUUUACCCUUUCGCCCGAGGCCCGUCGACCUCUUAGCCCACUACCAAGGAAGACCGGCAGGGUUCACUAUGAAGCCUUUCAAAGGUUCGUCUAACAAGUUAGGGCCGCUUGGUUUCGUUAGUCAGUCCGUGUGACUCACCCGCAGGAAUCCACGGUCUGCUAUCCCCCACUUGCGCCACAAGGGUAACCACUAACAAGCUAGAAAAGGUCCUCAUACUGAGCUAAAGCCAGAGCCAUGUAGCCCUCACAGUUGUACUGUAUGUCCCGGAUGGUCAGAUACAGAUAAGUCCUUAUGGGGAGAAACUAGAGCACCAUAAGAUAGCCCAAUGCUCCAGCCCUCUUUUCCAAAGUUGCUAAAAAGUCCACUUUUAAUGUUUAUUGCAUAUUCCAUUAAUCAAAUUACAAGAUCAUGGUUUAGUGGAGCACUAGCAUAAGCUACCCAAUGCAAAACCAUAGGUGACAAGGUAUAAGACCAAUACUAGGAAUUCCUUAACAAGGAGACACAUGCAAUAUGAAUAGUGUAAUUAAGGUUAUUAGGAAACAAGGAUGAUCCCAUGCUAUACUUGCCUUGAAACUCAGAUCCUUCUUUUAGUUCCGAACCUUCCACAAACUGCUUCUUGAUCACCACGUAAAAGCUCACCGACUAAACUCAGUCAUCACAUCAACAACAAUCAUCCAGAGGCAAUCAUACAAAGCAAAACAAACCUAUAAUUAGAACAAUACACCAACAGUAGCAAAUAAAGAUAAAAAGUUUAUAAAACAAAUCUACAUCGCUCUACGAUCACACAGACGUAAAGAUUACGAAAAUCGGAGCUAUAACGAAUAAGUUAUGAUUUUCCUAAGAUUUCCUUUAAUAAAAUAAUAGAUUAAAUCUAAACUCAGAUUUAAAAAGUUGGAAACUUGUAAUUCAGUAACAUUGAUCUAUAGGUUACGCGAAAACGAAUCUAACGAAACUUGAACGAAUCAAAACGGAGUUAAAACGAAGAAUAUAUGAAUUUUCUAAGAUUUUAUUUAGAAAAACAAUUAAUUACUUGGGUCACGGAAUUAAAAAGUUUCAAACUGAGAAAACAAUUUCACUAAUAUGUAGAUCUUUUGAAUACAAAACCAACGCAAUUUGAAUGGGUCAAAUCGGAGUUGAAACGGAGUUUUUAUGAGUUAAAUAAGAUCAAUGGCAAAACUGUAAAUUUGAGAAAGCGUAUUUUGAACUGAGUAAGCGAGAAUACGUCUUCAAAAUUGGAAAGCGUAUUUUUAAAAUUAUGUUUUGGACUGCGGGUUAGAUCUUUAAAAACCAGUGGGGCUAUUUUGCAAAACGCGCAGCCGAAAAGGUAUCUUCCAAUUUAGGCCGUCGGAUCGCGAAUGGGUGGCUAAGAUUAGAUCAGGGGGGAACUGGGGUGUUGGCCGGCCGGAGUUGGACAGGACGCGGCGGCGCCAUGGCUAAUCUCGGCCGGAGCUCGCCAAUCCAGUGAUAGAGUGCGGUAGAGCGCGAACCAAAAACACGGGGUCGCUCAGGAGCUCAGUGCGCGCUCACCUGAGGCAAAAAUCGGGGCGGAGCGAAGUCGGCUAGGGCUCCCGACGGCGAGAGGCGGAUGGCGGCCCUGCAGGAAGUUCGGCGCUGGUUAGCUACGCGUAGAAGGCAUGAAAACACGAAAGAAGAGCUUCGGUGACUUCGCAAGAGCAGCGAGAAGACCGGCAAGCGGCUCACGGUGACAAACACGCGAAGCAGCGGCGGAUUGGCUUCGACCCGGAUCUCGUCGGCGGUUUUCGGUGAGAACAAAGCGACGGGCGGCUCUGGGAUUUGGUAGGAGACUUGGCGAGGGUCGGGGUGAGUAUUUAAAGGGGCAAACGUGCGGAGCAAGGAGUUCGGGAGGGAGAUUACGCGCGGCCGGUGCGAUCUCUCGGCGCAGUCCGGCUCCGUCACGAGGUAGGGGAAAGACCCGACAGAUGGGUCCCACCUGUCAGCGAAACGGGGCGCGGGGUCGGCUUGUCAGCGGCUGCAGCGAGGUGGGAGGGGCGCGCUGCUUGCUGGGCUCGCUCUGCUGGCGCUGGGCCGCGAAGUGGGCCGCGCAGAGAAGAAAGGGGGGAGGAGGAGCAGGCUGCGGGGGAAGGGAGAGAAAUGGGCCGAGCCCGAGACAGGGAGGGGGAGAGGGAAUUCUUUUCCAUUUUCUAUUUUAUGUCUCCCUUUUCUUUUAAAACAAAACACAUUUCAAAACCAAAUUUGAAUUCUUUUUAAGCUUUAGUCAAACCCACUCAUCAAAAUAAAUCAAAUGCAGAGGCAUGCAUGCUCAAACAAGUUGCUAACUCCUAUAGUAAAUUUUAAUUGAAAUAAAAAUAUUAUUUUUUUCCUAUAUUUCAUGGGCACAAAAAUACACAAAUUAACAAUUCAUCCUAUUUUGGAAAAUUGCAAAUUUUGGGGUGUUACAAUUCUACCCCCCUUAAAAUGAAUCUCGUCCUCGAGAUUCGGUUGGUGCUUACUCAAACCACUGCGGAUAUACUUUUCUUAGAUCCUCUUCUCUUUUACAAAUAGCCUCCUCUUCGGUGCACUGAUUCCACUGGACUUUGUACAUCCUGACAAUCCAACUUCCGGUAACCCUUUUCUGUUGUUUCCAAAAUUUCUUACUAGGCACUCUUGUAUGUGAAAUCCAAUUUAACAGUCAAUUCUUCUAAUGACAUCUGCUCUUAUAACACACACAAGUACUUCUUAAGUUGAGACACAUGGAAGACAUCAUACACUCCUUCUGAACUUUCAGGUAGCUCUAUUUGGUAAGCCACUUCGUUCCAUAUUUCUUACAUCUUGAAAGGCCCGACAUACCUUGGUGCUAACCUUCCUUUCACACUUCUCUUAUGUGCCACUUCCCAAAAUCACAUAGUUUCACGCUUUGGAACUAAUUCUUUUCUCAGGCGUCAACAUAACUCUUCUAUCGAGUCUGUGCCACCCUUAGAUUAUCUCUGCUCACUCUCAAUUGUUGUUCUACAUCACUUAGAACUUCUAGCCCAAUCACUUGAGGUCCUUAUCGAUGAUCCAACAUUAACCAAUUCUUCUCCUUGUAACUCCUUUGAUAGGACUACCCCCCUUAGAAAAGGUAACUAGGGGUUUAAAUGGGUAGUUUAGUCCACCUCUCUAGUGUGUUUCUUAUCAUGAGAUCUUCUAAUACCGAAGAGAAACUCAUGUGCACUGAUGUGUACAAGAAAUCUGAAUUUCCUCACAAUAUGAGAAACACCAGCACAGUAAAAUAUAAAUAACUCCUUUUCUGUUAAUCCAAUAAGGUCUUAGCUUAUACCGUUAGAAACCUUAUCAAAUUCCCUACAACUUUCAUAUAGAAGGCUUCCUUAGUUUCUGUCAUUAAACCUAGGUAAAACAGCCAUACAUGAUAUUCCUCCUGACAGUGUCUCAGCACCUAUGCAGUAACUUGCAGCUGUCAUAUCUCGAGCUACAUAAAUCAUAUGGAGACGAUCCUUAUAUUGUUGAAAAGCUUAUGAAAUCCUCUAAAACUUUAGUAUACAACUUUUUCCCAGAUUCUAAAUUUAACUUGGCUGAAAAUAGGGAAUACCAAAACUGUCCAGACUUUGAUACAGAACACAAACAUCCAAUUGUAAAUAUCAUAUCUCAGGUUCUCCUUAUCCAAAUAAGUUCCAGCUUAUACCUUUGGAAAUCUUAGCAAAUUUUCUAUAACUUUUCUAUAGAACACUUUUCCAAAAUCUAUAGUUAUAUUUGUCUCAAACAGCAUGUUCCCAAAACUGGUCCAGAUUCUGGACAGCGCAACUAUACCGUCUUGUGAUUUUCGUAAUUCCCAAACCACAACAGCUAUGAGGGUGAUUCUUGAAGUCAGAGAAGGAUCUUGAAGUCUACUAUUACCCAGAAUUCUCACAUGAUUUUAUGGUCCUCCGAGAUUAGGGAUUUGAACUGAAGAAGAUAAGUUGCUCCCAAAAGACAGGGUAGGGAAAACAAGAGAAACUAAAACCCAUCUAUUUAUUCAUUAGUCCUUAUACCUUAGACCUAUAAACUAAAUGAAAUUGUGGAGAAACCCACAAGAUCAUUGCACUCAUUACAAAAAUCCAACUCAAACAUAAGCACCAAGACAAACCAACCAAACAUUAAAGGUUCACACAGCACACAUAUAUGCCUAAACUCAACUUUUGCUACUAACGUUUAUUACAAAGGGGAACUUCCUACUUCUUAAACAUAGUGUGACUGCAGCGGCAUCCAGGGUAGCAUCUCUUGCGUGGAGUUAAGCGAGGUAUGUCCUCCACCUCAUUGAUCUUAGGUAAUCCACCACGACUUCUCCACUCAUCAAUCUCAUCAAGGGCUUCCUCAUAGUGUUGCCUUACUUCUGCCAAUUCCAGUUGACUGUCUUCUAGCUUUUGAUGCAUGACUUGGAUAGUCAAAGCCAUCUCUUUUAGUUGUUCACUCUGCUCCAAGUAGGGGUCAGCCAUCACACAUUGCAAAGUGCCUGGUGGACGACGAGGAAGAUACUUUUGUUUGCCAUUCUUCCUCUCUUCGUAGUGCUUCCCAUGAUAUGCCAGAAGAGCUUGAUGGGCAGCAUCAGAUAUGCUAGCAUGCUUACUGAAGCGGUCACUGAGAGACGAAUGAAUGGAUUCCACCACACGUGAACCAGUAAACUCAUUCCACCUGGUGAUGUAUGCUUCUGUGCUCCAGUGGCUCUCAUACUUAGGAUGAGUCCACUUAAUGCACUUAUACUCCACCUUGGCUUGCUGUUCAGGAUAGUGGUCUUGUAGUAUACGCACAAGCCGAGGGUGAAAGAAAUCUUCGCCACUAAAGGAUGUGGUAAAGUAUUCCUUCCGCCAACAAGUAUGUCUUGAUGGGACCGGGCGAGCUUCUUCAUACUCUGGUUCCGUUAAGCCAUAGAUACCCCGAGUUAAGCAUGGUCUUCCAGAGUUGUUGCGAGCAAACUUUUCGUUACGAACCAUCUAUGGAAUUAGACCAAGAGGGAAUUAGAAUAGAAGCAAUACUUUUAGAAUAGAAUUAGAUGAUAGAAGCAUAAGAAUUUUAGCAAAUAGCAAGGGUGAGUUAGUAAGCAUGAAUGUAGUGAAGCAAAGAUGACUAGAACGACCAUUUCUAUCUAGGCUUGCGUCCUACAGUCAGCAUUGCUCUGAUACCACUUUGUAGCACCCGGUUUUAAGAACAAAACCAGAUACACACCAUAUGUGAGCCCAGGAAGUCAAAUCUCACAUAUAGCCACAAAUAAGGGUAAUAUCAAUAGUCAAUGCUUAUAUAUAACGAACUUAGUAUAAAAGAUAUAACCUUAGAUAGCAAACAGCGGAAAGACACUCCGUUCUUCAGGCGAAAGCUCCAAAUCCACAGGGACAACUGACUGGUUGAGCACAAGCCUAAACUCUUCUCCAAACUUGCAAGCUGGUACCCAUCCGGGAUUUUUAUCCAAAUAAAAUGUAAAGGCAAGCGUAAGUACAUCUCGUACUCAGCAAGAAUAACAUAGGGUUCAUGAGGCUCAAAGGCUAGACACUGGUUUAACUGCAUGUAGCUUUUAGUUGUCACAAUUUUAGCAUAUGAGUAGCAUCAAGUUGUCAAGUCCCGAAGUAAACUCAUGAUCAUGUAAAGUGAAUAUAGAAUAGCAUAAACAACAUAUUAACAACAAUAACAUUAAUGAUUUGCCAUUAGUGAUCAUUUAUUCUGUAUUGGUCCAAGGCCGCUCGUGACCGUGAGCACGGCUGAUAUAUCAGUUUUACACUCUGCAGAGGUUGUACACUUUCACUGUGAGUCAUGAUUUACCCUUUCGCCCGAGGCCCGUCGACCUCUUAGCCCACUACCAAGGAAGACCGGCAGGGUUCACUAUGAAGCCUUUCAAAGGUUCGUCUAACAAGUUAGGGCCGCUUGGUUUCGUUAGUCAGUCCGUGUGACUCACCCGCAGGAAUCCACGGUCUGCUAUCCCCCACUUGCGCCACAAGGGUAACCACUAACAAGCUAGAAAAGGUCCUCAUACUGAGCUAAAGCCAGAGCCAUGUAGCCCUCACAGUUGUACUGUAUGUCCCGGAUGGUCAGAUACAGAUAAGUCCUUAUGGGGAGAAACUAGAGCACCAUAAGAUAGCCCAAUGCUCCAGCCCUCUUUUCCAAAGUUGCUAAAAAGUCCACUUUUAAUGUUUAUUGCAUAUUCCAUUAAUCAAAUUACAAGAUCAUGGUUUAGUGGAGCACUAGCAUAAGCUACCCAAUGCAAAACCAUAGGUGACAAGGUAUAAGACCAAUACUAGGAAUUCCUUAACAAGGAGACACAUGCAAUAUGAAUAGUGUAAUUAAGGUUAUUAGGAAACAAGGAUGAUCCCAUGCUAUACUUGCCUUGAAACUCAGAUCCUUCUUUUAGUUCCGAACCUUCCACAAACUGCUUCUUGAUCACCACGUAAAAGCUCACCGACUAAACUCAGUCAUCACAUCAACAACAAUCAUCCAGAGGCAAUCAUACAAAGCAAAACAAACCUAUAAUUAGAACAAUACACCAACAGUAGCAAAUAAAGAUAAAAAGUUUAUAAAACAAAUCUACAUCGCUCUACGAUCACACAGACGUAAAGAUUACGAAAAUCGGAGCUAUAACGAAUAAGUUAUGAUUUUCCUAAGAUUUCCUUUAAUAAAAUAAUAGAUUAAAUCUAAACUCAGAUUUAAAAAGUUGGAAACUUGUAAUUCAGUAACAUUGAUCUAUAGGUUACGCGAAAACGAAUCUAACGAAACUUGAACGAAUCAAAACGGAGUUAAAACGAAGAAUAUAUGAAUUUUCUAAGAUUUUAUUUAGAAAAACAAUUAAUUACUUGGGUCACGGAAUUAAAAAGUUUCAAACUGAGAAAACAAUUUCACUAAUAUGUAGAUCUUUUGAAUACAAAACCAACGCAAUUUGAAUGGGUCAAAUCGGAGUUGAAACGGAGUUUUUAUGAGUUAAAUAAGAUCAAUGGCAAAACUGUAAAUUUGAGAAAGCGUAUUUUGAACUGAGUAAGCGAGAAUACGUCUUCAAAAUUGGAAAGCGUAUUUUUAAAAUUAUGUUUUGGACUGCGGGUUAGAUCUUUAAAAACCAGUGGGGCUAUUUUGCAAAACGCGCAGCCGAAAAGGUAUCUUCCAAUUUAGGCCGUCGGAUCGCGAAUGGGUGGCUAAGAUUAGAUCAGGGGGGAACUGGGGUGUUGGCCGGCCGGAGUUGGACAGGACGCGGCGGCGCCAUGGCUAAGCUCGGCCGGAGCUCGCCAAUCCAGUGAUAGAGUGCGGUAGAGCGCGAACCAAAAACACGGGGUCGCUCAGGAGCUCAGUGCGCGCUCACCUGAGGCAAAAAUCGGGGCGGAGCGAAGUCGGCUAGGGCUCCCGACGGCGAGAGGCGGAUGGCGGCCCUGCAGGAAGUUCGGCGCUGGUUAGCUACGCGUAGAAGGCAUGAAAACACGAAAGAAGAGCUUCGGUGACUUCGCAAGAGCAGCGAGAAGACCGGCAAGCGGCUCACGGUGACAAACACGCGAAGCAGCGGCGGAUUGGCUUCGACCCGGAUCUCGUUGGCGGUUUUCGGUGAGAACAAAGCGACGGGCGGCUCUGGGAUUUGGUAGGAGACUUGGAGAGGGUCGGGGUGAGUAUUUAAAGGGGCAAACGUGCGGAGCAAGGAGUUCGGGAGGGAGAUUACGCGCGGCCGGUGCGAUCUCUCGGCGCAGUCCGGCUCCGUCACGAGGUAGGGGAAAGACCCGACAGAUGGGUCCCACCUGUCAGCGAAACGGGGCGCGGGGUCGGCUUGUCAGCGGCUGCAGCGAGGUGGGAGGGGCGCGCUGCUUGCUGGGCUCGCUCUGCUGGCGCUGGGCCGCGAAGUGGGCCGCGCAGAGAAGAAAGGGGGGAGGAGGAGCAGGCUGCGGGGGAAGGGAGAGAAAUGGGCCGAGCCCGAGACAGGGAGGGGGAGAGGGAAUUCUUUUCCAUUUUCUAUUUUAUGUCUCCCUUUUCUUUUAAAACAAAACACAUUUCAAAACCAAAUUUGAAUUCUUUUUAAGCUUUAGUCAAACCCACUCAUCAAAAUAAAUCAAAUGCAGAGGCAUGCAUGCUCAAACAAGUUGCUAACUCCUAUAGUAAAUUUUAAUUGAAAUAAAAAUAUUAUUUUUUUCCUAUAUUUCAUGGGCACAAAAAUACACAAAUUAACAAUUCAUCCUAUUUUGGAAAAUUGCAAAUUUUGGGGUGUUACAAUCCUCAACUCACAGUAUAUAUGUCCAGGAACAUACACAGGACUAAUGAUGGAGCAGAUAAGGAACUCACAAGAAGAUAACAGAAUACCAGCAAGUUACCAGGUAAUGAAAAUUGUACAUUCCAUCAAUUUACAUGAAAAAAAUACAAAUCUUACAACUCCAUAGAGGAUAUAAAUAAUCAACUACCACAAUGUAAAUAAAACUAAAUGUUAAUUUUCAUACUAACUGAAAUCAAAUAUGCAGGAUCCAUAUGCAACAUAUACAUCUUUGCUACUUGGAGACAUCAACACAGAGGUACACAUGUUCAAAAAAAACUUCCAUUCAGAAAUAAUUUGAAGACUUUAUAUUGAAUAACCAUGAUUUAAUUAUUGCAGCUAACAGAAAUGCAGAUUUCAUACAUGACAAGGCAAGACUCAACACAAAGUUACCAAAAAGAAACCAAGGAAGAUAACCAGGUAAAAAAUAUCAGAGCAAAUAUAAGAUACAAAAACAUAAACUAGUGGGUAGGCUAUCAAAACUUACACUUCUAUGACAAUGAUAUGCAGUUACAUGAAGGAGUCUAUGGAAGCUUCAAUGACUUCAUCAAUUGGGACUAUGAUGAACAAGAACAAGAACAAGAGGUAAGAAUUUAAAAAGAAAACUGAUGCAUACAUGAGAAAGAGAUCAAAGUUUAAAAUAAGAUACUUAUCUUCUUCAUGCAUAAAUUUCAGCUUGCAGCUCUGGAACAUGAAACAAUGGCAGGGGACAACUACAAUUGGAGAACCAACAUAUUCAGCGAUUUGAACAUUGAGCAGG
rnacentral:lncRNA from 1 species